rnacentral:rRNA from 1 species
UGUAGUCUCGCACAGAUGCAUAUCAAUAAGCGGAGGAAAAGAAACUAACAAGGAUUCCCCUAGUAACGGCGAGUGAAGCGGGAAAAGCUCAAAUUUGAAAUCUUAAAGGGUUUCCCUUUACGAAUUGUAGUUUAAAGAAGUGUUUUCUGUUGAGGUUUUGGUAAAAGUUCUUUGGAAUAGGACAUCAUAGAGGGUGAGAAUCCCGUAUUUGACCUUUACUUUCAACUUUGUGAUACACUUUCAAAGAGUCGGAUUGUUUGGGAAUGCAGUCCAAAAUGGGUGGUAAAUUUCAUCUAAAGCUAAAUAUUGGCGAGAGACCGAUAGCGAACAAGUACCGUGAGGGAAAGAUGAAAAGAACUUUGAAAAGAGAGUUAAACAGUACGUGAAAUUGUCAAAAGGGAAGCGUUUGACACCAGUGUUGUUUUUCUGAAAAUCAAUUAAAGAACUGUUUAUGCUAAGCUGUUUAGACUUUAUCAGCUAACUGUUUAGUUUUGAGCUUUUCUUUAAUGCACUUUUCAGUUAACAAGUCAACAUCAAUUUCUUUUGCUGUAAAAAAGCUUGAGGAAGGUGGCUUGAGAUUCGUCUUAAGUGUUUAUAGCCUCUUGCCUAUGCAGUCGGAGAGAUUGAGGUCUGCAGCGUAGAUCCUUCGGGGCUAAAUGCAUUUGUGCUAAGUUAUAGCAUUUUAUAGACAACUUGUUGACUAUGAUUUGUCUUGUAGCUUACUCGCUUAUGUUAUUUUACCUACGCUUAGGAUGUUGGACUACUGAGACAUAGA